AAAAGAGCUUGGAAGAGGCAGUUGAAAUAGAUGCAGCAAGAUAGAGAAACGUUCGCGCGGAGGGCAACAAGAUAACUGAAUGAUGGGAAAAUAACAAAAAGGGGGAAACAGAGAGAUGCACUCCAAAUAUAGAAGAAGCGACAGAUGAGACAGAACAAAUUGGGCGAGCCUCCCAAAAGAGCUUCGCUUGGAUAUGGCUGCGGUACUUCAGGCUGAAUCUGCGGCAGUUGGACAACGAGUUGGGCCUGGAUCAGUGACCAAACAGUGGACACCAGAUAUACUGCACCAUUCACCAUCAACAGCUCCAGUGUUGGCGUGACCAUCCACAUCCAGGAGAUGAACCAGACGAAUUAUAGCCACCCACCUACCUAUUUUGACAGACUGGCAUAUCAUCAUUCACCUCUGGAGUAAAAUUUAACUUGUUCAACUCAAGUUGAUGACAUGUCCCCAAAAACAAAUGUUCAUUUUCAACCUUUUUAUUUUGCAAAAAUAAAAUCAUUUAC